rnacentral:rRNA from 1 species
CGGAGCAUGCGGCUUAAUUCGAACGCAACGCGAAGAACCUUACCAAGGCUUGACAUAUACAGGAAUACGGCAGAGAUGUCGUAGCCGCAAGGUCUGUAUACAGGUGGUGCAUGGUUGUCGUCAGCUCGUGUCGUGAGAUGUUGGGUUAAGUCCCGCAACGAGCGCAACCCUCGUUCUGUGUUGCCAGCAUUUAGUUGGGGACUCACAGGAGACUGCCGGGGUUAACUCGGAGGAAGGUGGGGAUGACGUCAAAUCAUCAUGCCCCUUAUGUCUUGGGCUGCACGCAUGCUACAAUGGCUGGUACAAACGGCUGCAAUACCGCAAGGUGGAGCGAAUCCGAGAAAGCCAGUCUCAGUUCGGAUUGGGGUCUGCAACUCGACCCCAUGAAGUCGGAGUUGCUAGUAAUCGUAGAUCAGCAACGCUACGGUGAAUACGUUCCCGGGGCUUGUACACACCGCCCGUCACAUCACGAAAG